CCAGCGAAAAAAAUUGCCCCACUCUGCGCCCUGAGCUAGGUUUUGUUCCCUCGAGCGAGAAACAGUCGCCAGACUCUGUGCCCUCCUUCGCCCGCCGCCUCCCUUCGUCCCUUCGCCGCCCCACUCCAUCCGCUCCUCCUCUCCCGAGGAUACGCAGCAGCGUCCGCCGACGCCGAUCCGGGCAGACGCGACCGUCGUGGAUCACGAGGAUCUGGAUGAUGGGGCGGCAGAGAUGGCCACGGAUCUGUUACGGCCACGACGGCGCCGGAUCCGCACCCGCAGCAUCCGGAUGGAGGCCGGCGACGAACCCUACCCUAGCCGUCAGCAUCGGGAUCCAACCCCUGCUCUCGGUGCCGGGGCAAGGCAUAUGGGGGUGCUUGCUGCCGCGGUGGACCUCGACGCCGGCGACAUCUACAGCAUCUCCCUCCCGUCGGGCUGCAGGACCUGUACGCCCAAGGUACACCACGGAGCGGAGCAACAUCUGGGACGCGUCGCCCUCACCCUGCCCGAGCGCGUCGCCUCGCCGCCGAGGGCCCAAGGCUCCAAGCGCGCUGCAGCAGCUCGUACUUGCUUAGGAUCAGCGGCGCGGUGAGGAAGAACCACAAUGCCUGGACGCGUUUGACUCCUGGUAAAUCUCAGCGUCUCGAAGAAUCAGCAGUACCUCCUGUUUCUGUUUGCGAUGGUAAAUUGGAAUCGAGACUCAGUUUGGUGUCGCUGAAGUGGUUCGUAUCCUAGCGACCGGGAUCGCGUCCCCGACAUUCCACUCGUCGACCCUGACCCUCGAUUCGGGACGACGAACCCGGUUCGAGGGUCGCUGCCUCGUUCCCCGAUCCCGGCAACUACGGUGCCCAUGGAGGAUAGGUAUUGCUUCAUCUUCAUAUCCAGUAUUUCUUCUGGUAUGUAUCCGAUUCGAGCUGCAAUUUUUGUCCAGCUACAGUAUCAUUCUCGUCAUAGGCUAACCCCAUUUCUCCCAGAACUCGCUGAUUGUAGUAUCCCGGAUUUCCUGACGCAGUCAAGCUGGAGCCUCAUCCGCAGCCAUUCCCGGAUUAGACAAUGCACUGCUCAUUUUUUCCAUUGUAUUUUAGUUGCUCUUGAUGUUGCUAAAUCUUUAGUCAUACAUCUAUAUUAAACUGAUGUUGAAACACCUUCUCAAACCAAUGAGUAUAUACUUCAAAUCGCAUCUCACUUUCAUGUCUCUUGUGCUACGUAAUGGUACUGGUUAUUGCCAUUGAGAAAUUAAUAGAAAAGGAGUUUCCUGGUUGAAAAGAGAAAUAAAUGUUUCUAUGAUUUCCUGUUUAUUUGCUUUCAUAUUCUGCUACACUUUUCCUCUUAGUUAUAAAACACACUCAAAAAUCUUUUGUUCUUUUCCACUACAAACACACUCAAAAACCAAUGAGCUGAAAUUAAAUGUAUUUCUAACUAAAAGAGAAUCAGAAUUCUUGGAGCUCAUACAGAAAAACAAUUGGUGCUCAAACUUGUGUGCAUAUAGCACCAAAUUUUGCAAGCAUGCAAGACUUUUUGUUUUUUUACUAUUUAUUUAUUGUUCAUGGGGGUACCAUGGAGCGAUCAAAUUUAAUGGUUUUGCAUAUUUGUACACUUCCCCUCUGUAGAUAGAUACACGAAAAAUUCGUCAUUGGUUAUACUCCAUGGUGAUAGCUCAACCUCAUUUCUGAAAUAUUUUGGCACAGACGGCUAUGACAACCUUGUACAGAUGGUCCAUCAAGUACACCCAACACCUUUUUUUUCAUUGUUCAACAUUCUUUGUAGCAUUAAUUUCUGACAACAGCUAGCUUCCUGGAUCAGGAAUAUGCAAGUUUUCUUAUACAAGGUACUGGUCUCAGACACUGUUGUAUUCUCUACAGAGUUUCUCAUUCUAAAAGAAACUGCAACUAUGCAAGAGGUUUAUGCCGAAGAUUCUUAUAUUUGCAAUUCAAGUUUUGGAUAUUAGAUAGAUACUUUAUCAAACUGUCCGCCAUUUACUUGGAGGUUGGAAAUUUUUUUGUUCUUUAAGGAGACUAUGUACACCAGAGGAAAUCUUCUGUAAAUGUUUUAGGCAUAUCCGUGUCGUUUGCUACAAUCUACAUAUAUGUGGAGAGUGGUCGGUCAUCUGGGGUUGAUCCUGUUGAUUAUGAAUCAGCAUGAAGAGUUUGGAAAAUUGGUUGCUAUGGGCAUGGUGAAAUGUGUUUGUUCCACUUCGAUCUAUUUUAACAUCUUUAUCUUGGUUAGGGUUAAGGGGGCAGUGAUGAAGGACCUCCAAAGCAACAUAACCAACCAUGUGUGAUGAAAAUAAGGGUAGGUGAUUCGUUUCUGACCUCCAUGGUGCUGCCAUCCUCGGCCACCUGGCGUGAAGGAGCGAACUCGACGAUGAAAUCGGUGACAGAGAGAAGCCAGUCGAUCUCCUUUGUCUUAUGUCGUUUCAUUAAUAUUGCUAGGCUGCUGACAGUUAUUGUUCAGAAGGCUGAUUGUAUAUUGAUCGUGCACUUUGGCUGGCUUUAUCCCAAUUUAGGAUGUUCUUAUGGUGCUACACCAAUGUACAUAGGCUAUUACAAUUGGGAUAUGUUCAUUGCAGGGAGAUAUGGAGGAACCAAAAGACCCAGAAGCUUCAUUAAAAAUUCAGGGAGGAAACUUGUUUGGCAUUUGACGAAAUUUUGUUAAAGGCAAG